rnacentral:rRNA from 1 species
GAUGAACGCUAGCGGCAGGCUUAACACAUGCAAGUCGAGGGGUAUUGGUUUUCGGACCAAGAGACCGGCGCACGGGUGCGUAACGCGUAUGCAAUCUACCUUUUGCAGAGGGAUAGCCCCAGAGAAAUUUGGAUUAAUACCUCAUAGUAUAGUACUUUGGCAUCAAGGAACUAUUAAAGUCACAACGGCAAAAGAUGAGCAUGCGUCCCAUUAGCUAGUUGGUAAGGUAACGGCUUACCAAGGCUACGAUGGGUAGGGGUCCUGAGAGGGAGAUCCCCCCACACUGGUACUGAGACACGGACCAGACUCCUACGGGAGGCAGCAGUGAGGAAUAUUGGACAAUGGGCGCAAGCCUGAUCCAGCAAUGCCGCGUGCAGGAUGAAGGCCUUCGGUUGUAAACUGUCUUUGUACGGUAACGAAACGGUGAGCU